rnacentral:rRNA from 1 species
UACGUAGGGACCAAGCGUUGUUCGGAUUUACUGGGCGUAAAGGGCGCGUAGGCGGCAAUUCAAGUCAGCUGUGAAAUCUCCAAGCUUAACUUGGAACGGUCAGCUGAUACUGAUGUGCUAGAGUGCAGAAGGGGCAAUCGGAAUUCUUGGUGUAGCGGUGAAAUGCGUAGAUAUCAAGAGGAACACCUGAGGUGAAGACGGGUUGCUGGGCUGACACUGACGCUGAGGCGCGAAAGCUAGGGUAGCAAACGGG